UACGGAGGAUUCGAGCGUUAUCCGGAUUUAUUGGGCUUAAAGCGUGCGUAGGCGGACUGGUAAGUCAGCUGUGAAAGCUUACGGCUCAACCGUGAAAAUGCAGUUGAUACUGUUGGGCUUGAGUAUACAUGAGGUGGGCGGAAUUCGUGGUGUAGCGGUGAAAUGCUUAGAGAUCACAAAGAACUCCAAUUGCGAAGGCAGCUCACUGGG
rnacentral:rRNA from 1 species